rnacentral:misc_RNA from 1 species
UAUAUAUAUAUAUAUAUAUAUAUAUAUAUAUAUAUAUAUAUAUAUAUAUAUAUAAACGUAUACAGUGCCGCCGGGAGGAGAAGAGGGGGGGGGGCAAAAGGGACAGUUUGUCUCGAGCGGCAGAUAUCCAAUAAAAUAUGCACACAUACAAUGUAUAAUACAUGUAUGUGUGCAUAUGUUUUACUGUAUAUAAUUGUUUAUUAUCAAUUAAUAAUCAAUACUUUUCAGUUAUAACUAUUUAAUAGUUAUGUUACAUAUUUAGUUGAUAAAUGUUGAGAGAAUUAAUUUCCUUGAGGUUUAUGGAUUAUUAUUUAUAACUGACUAAAUUUAUGUUUUGUUAUAGAUAUAUUGAAAAUAUAAAUUAUGGAUUAUUAAUUGUAACUAAAUUUUUUUGUCUGUAUGUGAAUAAAAUUACUGCCACUUCACUGUGAAUUCCAAAUCGAUUUGAUAAUACAGUUUCAUUUAGAAAAUCUUGCGGUCAAAAUUUCAGGAUUUUCAAAUCCGAGUUUUUGCUUUUUAAUGUAAUAUAUAAAUUAUAUGCAUCGGGUUUUGAACCCUUUAGUACUAAAAUUGUUUCAAAAUGUAAAACUACCUUUAUUAAAUUUAUUUUAAUAUUUUGUUCCAAAGAUAACGACUGGAAGAUAACGACUGAAAGAUAACGACUGAAAGAUAACGACCGAAAGAUAACGACUGAAAGAUAACGACUGAAAGAUAACGACUGAAAGAUAACGACUGAAAGAUAACGACUGAAAGAUAACGACUGAAAGAUAACGACUGUAAAACAACGACUGAAGAUAAGGACUGAAAGCACUUCAAAAAUAACCUGUGCCGAUGUUUAUCAAAGAAAAAACAACUAUUGUAAAAGAAAAAUCAACUAUUGUA